rnacentral:snoRNA from 1 species
GCAUGGAAACAGGGUUUUGGCCGGCCCGGCUCCGUGGGCCCCUCCCAGUGGACCCGUGCCAGAGUGACCGCAGCCUUGAACCGCUGCCCGAUGCCUCGCCUGCGGGCUGCGCGCACCUGACAGGCUUGGACAGCA